rnacentral:rRNA from 1 species
AGAGUUUGAUCAUGGCUCAGAACGAACGCUGGCGGGUGGAUAAGACAUGCAAGUCGAGCGCUGAUUACAGGGUAGCAAUAUUCUGUGGUCGGAGCGGCGCAAGGGUGCGUAACACGUGGGUAAUCUGCCAUGAAGUUUGGGAUAACUUGCUGAAAGGCGAGCUAAUACCGGAUGUGACAAUUAGGAGGCAUCUUCCGAUUGUCAAAGCUGGGGACCGUAAGGCCUGGCGCUUCAUGAUGAGCCCGCGGCCUAUCAGCUAGUUGGUGAGGUAACGGCUCACCAAGGCUAAGACGGGUAGCUGGUCUGAGAGGACGACCAGCCACACUGGAACUGAGACACGGUCCAGACACCUACGGGUGGCAGCAGUCGAGAAUUUUUCACAAUGGGCGCAAGCCUGAUGGAGCGACGCCGCGUGGGGGAUGAAUGGCUUCGGCCCGUAAACCCCUGUCAUUUGCGAACAAAUUGGUUCAAUUAACACCUGAACCAUUGAUAGUAGCGAAAGAGGAAGGGACGGCUAACUCUGUGCCAGCAGCCGCGGUAAUACAGAGGUCCCAAGCGUUGUUCGGAUUCACUGGGCGUAAAGGGUGCGUAGGUGGUGAGGUAAGUCGGAUGUGAAAGCUCGGAGCUCAACUCCGAAAUGGCAUUGGAAACUACCUUGCUAGAGGGUUGGAGGGGGGACUGGAAUGCUUGGUGUAGCAGUGAAAUGCGUAGAUAUCAAGCGGAACACCAGUGGCGAAGGCGAGUCCCUGGACAACUCCUGACACUGAGGCACGAAAGCUAGGGGAGCAAACAGGAUUAGAUACCCUAGUAGUCC